rnacentral:rRNA from 1 species
CAAAACAUGAAUUGAGCAAGCAAACCCGCUGAAUUUAAGCAUAUAAGUAAGUGGUGGAAGAAAAAAUAAACAUGAUUCUUUUAGUAAUGGCGAAUGAACAAAGACAUGGUCAUUUUGAAAAUUGUGGUCUUAGAUCAUGAAUUGUAUUUUCAAAAUGCAUUGCUAACACAACUGCACAUGUUUGUUUAUUGGAAAGAACAUCACAAAGGGUGACAAUCCCAUGUGUCAUGUGUAUGUUUUGUGUACAGCGUGCAUUAUAUGAAUCACAUUCAUUGACAAUUGAAUGCAAAUAGAAUGGUAAAUUUCAUUUAAUCAUAAAUAUGUUGUUGACAACUUAUAGCAAACAAAUACCAUGAGGGAAAUGUGAAAAGGAUUUUGAAAAGAAAAUUAAAAGAGCUUGCAAUUGCUGAACUGAUAAGCAAACAAAACAUACGUGUGUAUGCAAGAUUGUUGUAAUGCUUAGCAUCCUAUGCAAGGCUAUUGCAAUGAUUUUUUGUAUAGUGAUGCUACCUUUUUUUAGAAUUUGGAAUGUCUUUUUUUGAGUGUGAAUGGAAUUUUGUUUGUUAGCAAAGGAAUGCACUUUUAGAUUCAUUGUUUGAUUUGAUUUAAAAAUGUUUGUGACACAUGUCUUUGUUUUAAGUUUCAUGCUUCAACCAAGGACAUUGUGUUUUGAUCCAUAUCAGCAAUACAUGUUUGUUUGACCCGUCUUGAAACCCGGACCAAGGGU